GCCAACUAUAACAAACAAACAGUGAAUAUGGAAGAUGCCGAUGAGAUGCUAAAUAUUAGGAAGCAUUAGAGAAAAGCCAGAAAAUGAAGCAGCAACACUCAAAAGUUAUAAUGUUGAUUGUUGAUACUCUAAGCUAAACCAGACAACUGAAGGUAGCUCUGUUCUAAGAGUUGCUGCUUGGAUCUCAUUUGACUCUUCAUUGUAUAACUCCUUCCAGCAUUCACUUACAGCUUCAAUGAAGUGCUUAGAUACUACACUUGAUCAAUAACUCAUUCUCAUCACUUCAAUUUACCUACAUGACAACAUCACAGGUUGAUUGGCGACGUCCGUCCAUAUCUUCUGGUCCAAACUGUAUCAUGCGUUGUCAUACCUCUUGUGGCCAUUUUAUUGCUUCCAAUGUACACACAUUCAACGUAUUGGCUAUGGGAUGCAGAUUGCCUGCAGCAUCAAAAUUAAAUAAGUAACAACUCUUGGCAUUUCACCACAUGAACCUUCGUUCUCAAUAAGGAUUAUUGAGAUUGUGCGGCGGUCCAUGAUGACGGUCACCACUAAUAGCAGCGCCGCAUUAAGGAUCCUUUCCAACUUCCCGCUAUCUCGGAACCCUAGCACAAGACUCUCUUUCUUCGAUUUCCUUUUUGCUGUUUGAGAAUUCGAGAAACCUUAUGCUGAAUGUUUCUUGUUUAACUUUAAUUGAGGACUUAAACCCCUAAGUUGUGAUGUUGAUGUGUUGAAACUCACUGAAGAUCCCAGUGGAUUCGACUUGGUUGAUCUGUAUGUGGAGCACGAGGUUGAUAACCCUGACAUAAUAGACGAGGCAGAGGCAUUUCAGGGAGUUGAUGUUGUUGAUGAUCUUAAAGUUAACAAUGAUAAGAAUGAUAAUGUUGUAGUUGAUGAUGAUGGUGAAGUUAACAAUGAUAAGGAGAAUAAUGUUGUAGUUAAUGAUGAUGUUGAAUGGUGGCCUGCCCGCUCCAAGUUGCGAGUUGGCCCAUGGGACUUGUGCGAAGGUACCUGUCUUAUGGGUCUUAGACAGGAGGGUAUAGCGUGAGGCUGGUUUCACAGAGCAGCGAACACUUCCUACUCUUGACAGUGGAAGGAUCACAGGCCGUUGUACCUCCAGUCCACAACACCUGGUGAGCCUAGCCCCUUGAACCAUCUCUUUUUGGGAGGUGGGGUUCAUACAUUUUGGGGUGCCAUGUCCUUAAAAAGUUAUGAAUGCUUAAAUUUCCAUGAUUUACAAACACCAUGAUGCACCCCUCUUGGAUCCUUUCUCAUAUAAUCCUUAUUUUUACUUACAGUUUGUAUUUGUAUAUUAGGAUAAGUUCGUUCUUCUUGUGGCACCGACCAUUGAGUUUCACCAAAUUUCUAUGCCUCAAUUGACUUCUGCUGAGUAUUGCUUUAUACCCUGUCAUGAAUCUGCUGAUAUCCUCUUUAUAGCGGCAACUGAGUUUGAACCUUUAAAAUAUCCCUUGUAAACACCACCUUGGCCAAGCUUUUGUGUCUCUUCAAAGUUGUUUGUUGCAUUCAACAGCUCAUAAUAACUCAUCUUCUUAGUCCAACACUCAUUUGGAAUUCAUCAUCCAUAUCCAG